rnacentral:rRNA from 1 species
UAGGGAAUAUUGGACAAUGGGGGGAACCCUGAUCCAGCCAUGCCGCGUGGAGGAAGACUGCCCUCUGGGUUGUAAACUCCUUUUAUAUGGGAAGAACCGUCCUCAUUGAUGAGUGACCUGACGGUACCAUAGGAAUAAGCACCGGCUAACUCCGUGCCAGCAGCCGCGGUAAUACGGAGGGUGCAAGCGUUAUCCGGAUUCACUGGGUUUAAAGGGUGCGUAGGCGGAUAUGUAAGUCAGUGGUGAAAUCAACGGGCUCAACCUGUUAACUGCCAUUGAUACUGUGUAUCUUGAAUAUGAGAGAGGUAGGCGGAAUGCUGCAUGUAGCGGUGAAAUGCUUAGAUAUGCUACGGAACACCGAUUGCGAAGGCAGCUUACUAUUUCGUAAUUGACGCUGAGGCACGAAAGCGUGGGUAGCGAACA